rnacentral:tRNA from 1 species
GCAAUAGUGGUUCAGUGAUAGAAUGCUCUUCUUCCAUAUGGGAGACCCAGGUUCAAUCCUGGCUAAUGCA